rnacentral:rRNA from 1 species
AACGUAGGAGCCAAGCGUUAUCCGAAUUCACUGGGCGUAAAGCGUGUGCAGGCGGAAUGGUAAGUUGGGUGUGAAAUCUCCUGGCUCAACUGGGAGAGGCCGCUCAAUACUGCCGGUCUCGAGGGCAACAGAGGGAGGUGGAAUUCCCGGUGUAGUGGUGAAAUGCGUAGAUAUCGGGAGGAACACCAGUGGCGAAAGCGACCUCCUGGGUUGCACCUGACGCUCAGACACGAAAGCUAGGGGAGCAAACGGG